GAAAAACUGGCGGGAUUGGAUGGGAUACUUGAUUCCAAAAUGUGAUAUGAAGAAUUGCUGUGUACUCUGAAGGGAACACCAUGGAGGAUCUGGAGUGAAAGAUAUUUUGAUAUGAGGGAAGAACUUCAUCCAUCAGCUGCACUGAGUGACCCAAUAUAACUGAGGGGAAAUGAGAGCUCUUUUCUGCACACUCUUCCAAGUUAAAUACUACAGAAUUUCAGGUUGGGAUAUUUUCAAGGACAUUUUCAACAAGGAGGAUAUCCUCAAGAAAACAAAAUUCCCUUCAGAUGUUCAUGUGUCGCAUCAUGCAACUGUAAACAGUGAAACUCUUACAGUCUCUAGCAAGCACCCUGCUUGA
rnacentral:lncRNA from 1 species